rnacentral:rRNA from 1 species
AGGAUUAACGCUGGCGGCGUGCCUAACACAUGCAAGUCGAACGAGGUAGCAAUACCUAGUGGCAGACGGGUGAGUAACGCGUGGUCAACCUACCGUUGAGUGGGGGAUAACUAGCCGAAAGGUUAGCUAAUACCGCAUACGAGUCUACGGGGGCAUCCCUGGGCCUUAAAAGGAGCAAUCCGCUCGAUGACGGGACCGCGUCCCAUUAGCUAGAUGGUGGGGUAACGGCCUACCAUGGCACCGAUGGGUAGCUGGUUUGAGAGAGCGACCAGCCACACUGGGACUGAGAAACGGCCCAGACUCCUACGGGAGGCAGCAGUGAGGAAUUUUCCGCAAUGGGCGAAAGCCUGACGGAGCGACGCCGCGUGUGGGAAGAAGGCCUUCGGGUCGUAAACCACUGUCGAAGGGGACGAUAAUGACGGUACCCUUGGAGGAAGCCCCGGCUAACUACGCGCCAGCAGCCGC